UAUUUUAAUAGUUAAUUCCUCACAUUUUGCUUAGUUAAUUCCUUAACGAAUCGAUUUUUAACUCAAUUUCUAUUUUCUUAGGUACAUUGGAGUAAAUGAUGGUGAAAUGAGCAUUAGGUCCACACUUACCUAUAAAUGGUGGAGAAAAAUGGAAAUGUACUAAAAUGUCAAUUUUACACAUUUUCCUACUCCGGCUAGGAGAAACCAAGCCAAGCAAGGAAGAAGGAGCGGCCGCCGGACCAAAUGAACUUCAAAUGAGCUGAAACUUUCCAGAUCCAUUCUAGACAGCCCAAGGAUCAUUUCUUAUGAAGAGUGCAAGAACUUUUGUUGAGUGGAAGGCCUUCAAACAAUCAGCCCAAUUUUCUACAGAAGCAAAACUGGAAAACUGGACCUGUAAGAGGUCCAGCAGCAUUUUCGGCCCAACCACAUGGAAUAAAAAUCUGAAAUUUUACCAGGGUGAUCUACACUCAUAAUGGAACAUUUUUUAUGAAGAGGUCAUAGUGAAAUUGGGAAUGCUUGUUGGAGAAAUAAUUGAAGGAAUAAAGGGGCAGAAACUGAUCUAAAAACAGCUCAACAUCACAUGUUCAUGUUUCCUACCCACAUGAAGAAAGCUAGAUGCUUUUCUCUUUUUCCUUGGAUAUAUUUUUCUGCUCCAAUAGAUCAUCAUCACUUCCAUACUUCUGCACAUUCAUGCCUUGCUUUCAUUUCAUCAUUACUCCAUCUUUUCCAUAUUUUACAAACCACUUUCAUUAUUUUUCUUCCAUUUAUCAUUUCACUCUUCUUUUUCUUCCCUAUAUAAACACCUUCUCCUCUCACUCUAAACACAUUCCUUCAUCCAUUCCAUUUUCUUUGUCUUUCCAUUUCCUUUCCAUUUUCCCAAAAAUUCCUUCAUCCAUUUCAUCUUCUUUGUCUCUCCAUUUCCAUUCCAUUUUUCUCUCCAUUCUCUAGUUGCAAAAUUCUGCGUUUUCAAGUAAGAAGAAGAAGAAGAAGAAGGAGCCGGGAAUAUCAUAUCCUCCAUCGUCCACCUUGAAGGCUUGCUUCCAAGAUUCAAGAUUUCAACGUUUCAAGCACUCCAUCUCCAUCUCCAACUCACGGUGUGUACCCUCAAUCCCCGGAAUAGAACGAUCCCUAUUUGCUUAUACUACUAACGAUGUUUUCAGGGUUAAAUUAUGCGCUUGCUUUGAGCGUAUCAAUUUUUGGCGCCGUUGCCGGGGAUUGAAAAAUCACUUGUUUUUGUUUAUAAUUGUUGUAUAUAAACUGUUUGAUACUUAGUUUAAAUUAACUAGGUUGUUUUUUUUUAUUGUUGAAUACGAGUUUAAUUGUGAGUUGUAAAUUAAAGAAGGAAUAGGUGAAGUCGUGUUUAUUAAUAUUGGCCUAAACCCCUUAUUGGUACCUAGUUCAGGUCCCUUAAGGUUGAGGGCGGCCUUUAUUAACAUUCAUUGAACUGUCUAACACACUUAGGACCUUUUACAUCCUAGUAAGAAUAUCCUAUGUGAGAUGGUGUCUAGGAAGGGGAUAACGUUCAUGACGGGUUUUUGAAUCCAGAAGUGCUUAUAAAUGGGCUUAGCUCAUGCCAAAAUGGAUUUUUCCUCUCGUGUUCACCCUCCCCUACCUGGCCAUUUCAGUAAGGUUGCCCAACGGAUGUAGGAGGGACUUUGUGUCUAGACGACUAUACUUGGGCCGCACGUCCACUUGAUUUACCGCUUGGAAUUAUAUUUGAUAUCAAUAAUGUUUAUAACAAAAGAAAUACUUGUGCAUACUCUUUACGUGUAAAUUAUUUUGUUGUUUCACACUUUAUACUUGUAAAAAUACUUUUUACGUUUUAUACUCACUUGUGUACUUAACUUGUGUCUUAUGUACAAAAUACUUGUUAAUUAUACUUGUAGUUUGUAAUUCAUAGUUACUUGUUUAUUUUUUUUGUAUUUCUUUGUUAAUAUUAAGUUACUAACUUUAUUUAAUGUAGGUACCGUCUGGCUGCAAGACGUAAAAUACAAGCGCUGCUUGGGAGGCAACCCAAUUCAGAAUAUAAUCAGAUUUGCUUUCUCUUCCCCUUUUACUCCUCCAUUUUCUUUUUGUUUUAGUAGUUAUUUUCGUAAAUUCCAUCCCUAUAUGCUUACUUAUUUCAUUGCAUGCUUUUAAUUGAUUACAUUGAGGAUAAUGCAAUAUUUAAGUGUGGGGGAAGGGAUUUAUAUUUUUGUCUUUCAUUUUGAAUCCUAUUUAUAUUUUUGUCUUUCAUUUUGAGUCCUAUAAAUAUUUUUGAGUCCUAUAUUUAAAAAAAUAAAAAUAAUAAUAAAUAAAAAAUAAAUAAAAAAUUAAAAAAUAAAAAAUAAAAAAAUAAAAAUAAAAAUAAUAAUAAUAAUAAUAAUAAUACUCUAUACUAAGCCAUGUCUGCAUCUCUGUAGGAGUUGAGGCUGAGCUCAAGGGAAAUGUGAGAGCCACCGCCAUAACCGCUACCUCUCUCGGAAGUAGUCUUCAUGAUGCCCAAGAUGUCCUCACCAUGCAUGGGGAACAAUGGAAGGGUUUCAAUCUCCUGGUGAUCUCCUCCUCGUUGUUGCAGGGAUGUUUGUCCUCCUGUUGUGCCAAAAGAGUUGUACUGGUAUUAGUGUUGAAGUGUGAGGAAGAAUAUGAAACAAAAUUUAAAUCAAGAAAUCCUUCAUUACCAGUAGAAUCGGUGGAACCAAAGUUGAGAUUAAUGGAUCUACCAUCAUCAGUAGAACUAGUGGACCCAAAAUUGAUGUCAAUGGAUCCACCAGCUGGCCCAAAAUUGAUGUCGAUGGAUCCACCAGCACCAGUAGAACCAGCUGGCCCAAAAUUGAGAUCAAUGGAUCCACCAGUACCAGGAGAACUAGUUCCCAUGGGCACUUGAGCAGCCUGAUUGCACCUCUUCAUCUGCUUCUCUCGAGCCCUGACAUUCUGGAACCAAAAAUAAAUGUUCUUGCCCUCAACAUGUCCAUACUGGUUCAGCUGGAGACAGAUCUCGUGAAUAUGCUCUGUAGUUGGGCACGUAACUCCCUUGUCGUAGUAAAGAUCCUUGAGGAUCCUUAUUUGAUCUGGAGUAGGAACCCACCUGGCACGGCUUCGCCAGAAAUCUGUGUUGGCACUACUCCCGGCUGCUUGGUUGUUUCCUCCAUCCUCGAUUUGUUGCUGGGUUUGUAGCUCCAUCAGUUGCAGAGUUCUUGGUUCCAUGGUGAUGGGUUGAGGGGAUGUGAAGAUCGAAGAGUAAAGUUGUCAAGUGUUUGAAGGAGUUGUUGUUAAAGGGAUUAAGGAUGAUGAUGGUGUGUUGGAGAUCUGAAAGUUCAGAGGAAAGAUGGGAUUGAAUCAACUAGAUGGGAGAGAAGAUCAGAAGAGAAGGAUUGAAUCGAAGAAGAAAUAUUUUGAGUUUUGAAAGAAGAGGAAAGCUGAAGAGUUGGGAGAGAGGGGCUGGAACUCAGGAGAGAUUUUCGUUCCUUUGGAGUGAACAGUUGCGCCCUCAGAAUGCACCUAUUUAUAGAGCGAGGUGAGCAGAUCUCCACCGUUGGAUGGACGAUUCCUGUGAUUCAUUCUACGCGUUGGAUUAAAGUCGCCCUGAAACCCGGAAAAGUUGUUGGCGCGUGGAGAGCGUGUAAGGGGACCGAGGGAAUCUCGAGGCGCUGUGGCAGACAGCUGUAGCCGAAAGCAGAUUUGACUGCCGUAAAUCACGGAAGGGAUAAGCCGUGACACAAGUGGGCCGUACUUGGGCCUGUCUCGGAUCAAGGCAUCACUGUAGCUGUGGGUGGAGGCCUGAUGGGCCGAGUUUCAGAAACAGUUUUGGAUGAGUUGGGCCGGAUUUCUGCAACAGUCUUGGAUGUUUUGUGCCGAAUUGUUGAAACAGUUGAAACAGUUGGUUUAAAUAAAAGGAUUGGUAUGGAUAAUAACGUGAGCAGCCGUGCUCGAGUGGUUGAGUGUAAAGUUCGUGUACAAGAGGUCUGAGGUUCGAACCUCGCCUCUCGUUUAUUUUUAUUAUGUUCGUUUAUGACAUAAUAAGUAUAAAAUUUGUACACAUUAUAUUAAGCACAGCUUGUGCUCCAGUGGUUGGGGACAAAGGUUUCGUGCAGCAGGUUAAGGUUUCGAACCUUGCCUCCCCCGUUUUUUUUUAUUUAUGUCACUCCAUCAGAACCCUCCUCCGAAGGCUGAAACCAGCAAGAAGGCUGCCACUCGCCCGCAUACCGCUCCUCCAAAGGAGUAAAUGGAGGUACAAGUCUAGGCUGAAAGACUUUAAACAUUAAGCGCUGCAUGGGAGGCAACCCAUUUCAACCGUAGCUGUGGAGGAGCCAUCAACGCAGAUUUGCUCUCUUAAACUCUAUCUCCUCUAUUACUAUUUUCUGAUUGUAUCUUUGUUAUUUGCGUUUUUAGUUUUUGUUUUUAGGUUUUCUUGAGUUAAUCAUUCCAUUCACAUGAUAAUUGUUCAUUGCAUGCUCUAACUUGUUUAACAUUGAGGACAAUGUAUGAUUUAAGUGUGGGGGGAAGGAUUAAUGCUUGUAGUUAGUUUUUGUCAUAAAAAAAAAAAAAAUCAAAAAAAAAAAAAAAAAAAUCAAAAAAUGUCAGAAAAAUAAAAAAUUUCGUUGCUUUUGUUUUUGUUUUGAGUCUUAGGAUGCCUUUCAACUGUCUGGGAUGAUUCUAUAUCUCUGAAAUCAUGACUAAAAGAGGAUCACAACAUUGAGAUGAUUUUAACAUGGUAUUCUUUGGUUAAUUGAGAUAUAUAAAAAAUGUAUGCACUUGUAGUGGAUAUGGAUUGCAUGACCUUGGUACAGAAUAUGAGCAUGUUAAGAUGAGUUGUGAUUCAUAAAAUCUAUGUGAGAUAAUUGAACCAUGUCCCUUUUUCUUGGAGUGAAAUGAAAAAUAUAUUCUUAAUUUCUUGGCGAUGUUUUGAUGAUCUCAUUAUUCUUUCAUCUUGAUUGACUGCUUGCCAUAGAUUAAGUUUAAUUGACUAGAGAAUGCUAGAAUUCGCUCUUGUGCUUGUUGAGACGUGAUAUCAAUACAUGGCCCUGAUUCUGGAAGGGAUAGAGGUUCUCUAGGAAUUACCACCAUUGCCAAAUAAACUUGUGUCCCCAUUUGUGCCCGUCGUGGGACCCCCUAGAUAAGCCCCUUUGAGCCUACUUUGAGCCUUUUCGUUCAUCACCCUUAAAAUCCUUAACCAUGAAGCUUAGUAUAGUUACAACCCUACCCUUUGUUCUAAGGACUUAGUGGAGCUAUCUUUUGAGACAUACUACAUGGGUUUGGUGCUAAGGAUGAAGAUUGAGAAGAGGUGAAAGUUCAAGUGUAGGGAUAGACUUGUCCAUAAAGAAAAAGAUAUGUUGAAGCCGUGAAAAAUGAAAAGAAAAGAGAAAAAUUGUGUACGGCUAAAAAGAAAAAGAAAAAAAAAAAUAUAUAUGUUUAUGGACUUUCAUCCCCCAUACUUAGUGAUUUUGGAGUUUGCUUUGAAUUGAAGGCCCACUACAGAAAAAUUUGGCCUUUGUCCAUUUCACUAGAGUUCAAGGGAAGUUUAUAUUGAAGAUUGGGCCCAACAUGAAGACAUUUGGCCCUAUUAUAUUACCUCUAUGGGGAAGUGACGUUUUUGCAAUGCCUUGGUGAAAUAUUUCGAGAUCUCUACAUUCAUAUGAGCUCUACUAGGUUUUUAGGACACUUUGAUAAUCCUUACCUUUCAUUUCUUUAAACCUUGAGCCUUAGCCCCAUUACAACCUUUGAGAGGACCUUCUUGAUCCUUAAGAUGGGACAGCCUUUGAUGUGGAGAUGAGUUACAAGAGUUGAACCUAUGGCUUGGGUCCAUUCGUGCAAGUAGUUGAUAUCCUUCAUGAGAUCUUUUGAAAAAAAAAAUUAUAUUCACAAAGUGCUUUUCGUUUCUUAUAUAUGUGAGCUAUCUGACUGCCUUAAAAUAUGUUCUCUCACAUAUAAAUGAGUGAUUAUAAGCUUUUAAGCAUUGCCUUGAUCUGAGAGAAGAAAAAGUGGAUAUACCUUGUGAGGAUAUGAAUCAUACUUGUCUGAAGCAUGCUAAGCUAAACCCCAAUCACCAUUAUUACAACCAAGUCCUACUUGUGUAUGUGUGGAUCAUAUGUUUUAAUUAACUCUCGAAUGCUUAACAUUGAUUCUUGGUUGAGUGCUAAUCUUGGUGUUGUGAAAGUAAGAGAUUUCUGAGACAAUAUGUUAAAGGGCAAUAGAGGUCUUUGUGAUGUCAACAUCUUGGUCUUUGUCUUUGAAUUUACUCUUUUAUGUGUGACGUUUUUUUUUUUUCUUUGUGUUUUGCUUUGUGUUUUACGUUUUUGGUUUCUUUGAGUCUUUGUGUUUUUGUUUCCAUACUUAGUCAUUUUUUUCGUUGGUUUCUUUGUUUUGUGUCAUAGUCUUUUUGGUUUGUUAGUUUUUGAUUUUGCUAAGGGACUAGCAAAAGCUAAGUGUGGGGGAAUUUGAUAGGAGCAUUUUAAUGUGGUAUUUUAAUAGUUAAUUCCUCACAUUUUGCUUAGUUAAUUCCUUAACGAAUCGAUUUUUAACUCAAUUUCUAUUUUCUUAGGUACAUUGGAGUAAAUGAUGGUGAAAUGAGCAUUAGGUCCACACUUACCUAUAAAUGGUGGAGAAAAAUGGAAAUGUACUAAAAUGUCAAUUUUACACAUUUUCCUACUCCGGCUAGGAGAAACCAAGCCAAGCAAGGAAGAAGGAGCGGCCGCCGGACCAAAUGAACUUCAAAUGAGCUGAAACUUUCCAGAUCCAUUCUAGACAGCCCAAGGAUCAUUUCUUAUGAAGAGUGCAAGAACUUUUGUUGAGUGGAAGGCCUUCAAACAAUCAGCCCAAUUUUCUACAGAAGCAAAACUGGAAAACUGGACCUGUAAGAGGUCCAGCAGCAUUUUCGGCCCAACCACAUGGAAUAAAAAUCUGAAAUUUUACCAGGGUGAUCUACACUCAUAAUGGAACAUUUUUUAUGAAGAGGUCAUAGUGAAAUUGGGAAUGCUUGUUGGAGAAAUAAUUGAAGGAAUAAAGGGGCAGAAACUGAUCUAAAAACAGCUCAACAUCACAUGUUCAUGUUUCCUACCCACAUGAAGAAAGCUAGAUGCUUUUCUCUUUUUCCUUGGAUAUAUUUUUCUGCUCCAAUAGAUCAUCAUCACUUCCAUACUUCUGCACAUUCAUGCCUUGCUUUCAUUUCAUCAUUACUCCAUCUUUUCCAUAUUUUACAAACCACUUUCAUUAUUUUUCUUCCAUUUAUCAUUUCACUCUUCUUUUUCUUCCCUAUAUAAACACCUUCUCCUCUCACUCUAAACACAUUCCUUCAUCCAUUCCAUUUUCUUUGUCUUUCCAUUUCCUUUCCAUUUUCCCAAAAAUUCCUUCAUCCAUUUCAUCUUCUUUGUCUCUCCAUUUCCAUUCCAUUUUUCUCUCCAUUCUCUAGUUGCAAAAUUCUGCGUUUUCAAGUAAGAAGAAGAAGAAGAAGAAGGAGCCGGGAAUAUCAUAUCCUCCAUCGUCCACCUUGAAGGCUUGCUUCCAAGAUUCAAGAUUUCAACGUUUCAAGCACUCCAUCUCCAUCUCCAACUCACGGUGUGUACCCUCAAUCCCCGGAAUAGAACGAUCCCUAUUUGCUUAUACUACUAACGAUGUUUUCAGGGUUAAAUUAUGCGCUUGCUUUGAGCGUAUCACUACACAAUACAUAACAUCAUGUAUGGUGAAUUUUCUCCAAUUUAUCUAGUUCAUAUCAAAUAUAGUAAAAUU